rnacentral:rRNA from 1 species
GACGUAGGUGGCGAACGUUAUCCGGAAUUAUUGGGCGUAAAGGGUGCGUAGGUGGCCUGGCAAGUUAUCAGUGGUAAAUCGAGGCCCAACCUCGUGGAAACUGGCAAUACUGCUUGGCUUGAGUGCAGGAGAGGUUAACGGAACUCUAUGUGGAGCGGUAAAAUGCACAGAUAUAUAGAAGAACAGCAAGAACGGCGAAGGCAGUUAACUAUUCUGUUACUGACACUGAGGCACGAAAGCGUGGGGAGCAAAACGG